rnacentral:tRNA from 1 species
GACCCCAUCGUCUAGCUAGGUCUAGGACACCGGCCUUUCACGCCGGCAACACGGGUUCAAAUCCCGUUGGGGUCACCA